rnacentral:tRNA from 1 species
GUUGAGAUGGUCGAGUUGGUCUAAGGUGCCAGAUUAAGGUUUUGUUCCGAAAGGGCGUGGGUUCAAAUCACUCUCAACA